GACGAACGCUGGCGGCGUGCUUAACACAUGCAAGUCGAACGAUGAAGCCGGAGCUUGCUCUGGUGAAUUAGUGGCGAACGGGUGAGUAACACGUGAGUAACCUGCCCUUGACUCUGGGAUAACUGCUAGAAAUGGUAGCUAAUACCGGAUACGACCCUCGGCGGCAUCGCCAGGGGGUGGAAAGAAUCUCGGUCAAGGAUGGACUCGCGGCCUAUCAGCUAGUUGGUGAGGUAACGGCUCACCAAGGCGACGACGGGUAGCCGGCCUGAGAGGGUGACCGGCCACACUGGGACCGCGACACGGCCCAGACUCCUACGGGAGGCAGCAGUGGGGAAUAUUGCACAAUGGGCGCAAGCCUGAUGCAGCAACGCCGCGUGAGGGAUGACGGCCUUCGGGUUGUAAACCUCUUUUAGUAGGGAAGAAGCGAAAGUGACGGUACCUGCAGAAAAAGCACCGGCUAACUACGUGCCAGCAGCCGCCGUAA
rnacentral:rRNA from 1 species